GCCUCAGUUAUGGCACUUGAUUGGACCGUUCUUGCGAAAAAGCGUUGGAUUUCAAAGUGGCGAAAUUUCAUCUGCCACUCAGUCUGAUUUCAUUUCUUUUCAAAUAACCCAAGUCAUAGCAAUGUUAUGUGAGACCUAUUCUGUACAUUUCCUUUCAGAAAAAUGGAUUACGUUUUACCCACAACCUCAGAGCUCCGUCUCUUUAAUACUGCAGUCGAUUUCCUGGGGCUCGGUGCUUAUGCUCAAUCAUUGCUUCAGGUCAUUGGCAUUUUGGUUCUCACGUUGGUAACUGGUUUAGCAAAUAGCCUUGGCCAAAUUGGCAGCCUCUUCUUCCCUCAAGCCACUACUUCUCCUCCUGGAAUAACGUUCACAACAUUGGCCCCAUUUAUUCCAACAAUUGCUCCAACCCCAGCUCCAGUAACUACUACAACAAUGGCUGGACCAUUAGCGUUUUUGGAUUGUGGCUUGGCAUCAUGUGAACCGGAGGAUGUCGUUUUUUCUCAACCAGACUUCCUUGGCACCCUAGAAGAGUGUUGUGCAUUGUGUCCUUCUCCUUCACUUUGCCAAACUCAGUUAACUCUCGGCGGAUCUGACACUUGUUUUUGCUUCGAAACCUGCGGCCCAGGUCCUCCAAUUGAGCUCCCAUUCGGUACCGCUGGCCGUCCAUGCCCUUAAUUGCAAGAAGGCUCCAAAUUCAACGGCCCAAGGUUUUUGCUUGGGCGAAAAUGAAACGAACCUAGUUAAAACCCAUUGAGUCAAUUUUUGAAAGUCACUCUCAAUUAGAGCUAUUCUCCGUAUGAUAUUUACUAACAUGUUUUAUAGGUUCAUGUGCUGUGUUCAUGACCCCUACUUUCGUAUCUUUUGUAAUAAUUAAGUCCCCAAGACACAUCGGAGCCCAGAUAACUCAAGUCACCUGCUUUUAUUCUAAAUUCGAUAAACAUAUGUUUCACUGUAAAUAAAACCUUAUG